rnacentral:rRNA from 1 species
GGGAGGCAGCAGUGGGGAAUUUUGGACAAUGGGCGCAAGCCUGAUCCAGCAAUGCCGCGUGAGUGAAGAAGGCCUUCGGGUUGUAAAGCUCUUUUGUCAGGGAAGAAACGGCAUCCUCUAAUACAGGGUGCUAAUGACGGUACCUGAAGAAUAAGCACCGGCUAACUACGUGCCAGCAGCCGCGGUAAUACGUAGGGUGCAAGCGUUAAUCGGAAUUACUGGGCGUAAAGCGUGCGCAGGCGGUUGUGUAAGACAGGUGUGAAAUCCCCGGGCUUAACCUGGGAAUGGCAUUUGUGACUGCACGGCUAGAGUGUGUCAGAGGGGGGUAGAAUUCCACGUGUAGCAGUGAAAUGCGUAGAUAUGUGGAGGAAUACCGAUGGCGAAGGCAGCCCCCUGGGAUAACACUGACGCUCAUGCACGAAAGCGUGGGGAGCAAACAGGAUUAGAUACCCCGGUAGUCCG